UAAGGAAUAUUGGUCAAUGGACGCAAGUCUGAACCAGCCAUGCCGCGUGGAGGAUGAAGGUCCUCUGGAUUGUAAACUUCUUUUAUCUGGGAAGAAAUGCAUUUUUUCUAAAGUGUUUGACGGUACCAGAUGAAUAAGCACCGGCUAACUCCGUGCCAGCAGCCGCGGUAAUACGGAGGGUGCAAGCGUUAUCCGGAUUCACUGGGUUUAAAGGGUGCGUAGGUGGGCAGUUAAGUCAGUGGUGAAAUCUCCGGGCUUAACCCGGAAACUGCCAUUGAUACUAUCUGUCUUGAAUGUCGUGGAGGUAAGCGGAAUAUGUCAUGUAGCGGUGAAAUGCUUAGAUAUGACAUAGAACACCAAUUGCGAAGGCAGCUUACUACACGGAUAUUGACACUGAGGCACGAAAGCGUGGGGAUCAAACAGGAUUAGAUACCCUGGUAGUCCACGCCCUAAACGAUGGAUACUCGACAUACGCGAUACACAGUGUGUGU
rnacentral:rRNA from 1 species